UACGGAGGGUGCAAGCGUUAUCCGGAUUCACUGGGUUUAAAGGGUGCGUAGGUGGGCUAGUAAGUCCGUGGUGAAAUCUCUGAGCUUAACUCGGAAACUGCCGUGGAUACUAUUAGUCUUGAAUCUCGUGGAGGUAAGCGGAAUAUGUCAUGUAGCGGUGAAAUGCUUAGAUAUGACAUAGAACACCGAUAGCGAAGGCAGCUUGCUACAUGAGUAUUGACACUGAGGCACGAAAGCGUGGGGAUCAAACAGG
rnacentral:rRNA from 1 species